AGAUUAGCACUGUACGUAUAUGAAUAUCUGCUCCAUGUAGGAGCACAGAAAUCAGCUCAGACGUUUUUAUCAGAGAUAAGAUGGGAAAAAAACAUCACACUGGGGGAGCCCCCAGGAUUCUUGCAUUCAUGGUGGUGUGUAUUCUGGGAUCUCUACUGUGCAGCUCCAGAAAGACGAGAAACAUGUGAACAUUCAAG